ACUCCUACGGGAGGCAGCAGUGGGAAGUCUUGCGCAAUGGGCGAAAGCCUGACGCAGCCAUGCCGCGUGAAUGAUGAAGGUCUUAGGAUUGUAAAAUUCUUUCACCGGGGACGAUAAUGACGGUACCCGGAGAAGAAGCCCCGGCUAACUUCGUGCCAGCAGCCGCGGUAAUACGAAGGGGGCUAGCGUUGCUCGGAAUUACUGGGGCGUAAAGGGGAGCGUAGGCGGACAUUUAAGUCAGGGGUGAAAUCCCGGGGCUCAACCUCGGAAUUGCCUUUGAUACUGGAUGUCUUGAGUGUGAGAGAGGUAUGUGGAACUCCGAGUGUAGAGGUGAAAUUCGUAGAUAUUCGGAAGAACACCAGUGGCGAAGGCGACAUACUGGCUCAUUACUGACGCUGAGGCUCGAAAGCGUGGGGAGCAAACAGGAUUAGAUACCCUGGUAGGAUAGCG
rnacentral:rRNA from 1 species